CCGCGCUAAACGGGGAGUUGGCGGUGCCCUAUUUCCUGCAAUCCGCCGCAGCAGGGUCUAAUUCCCGCCCCCAGGCAUACAUUUGUGAGGCCGGAACCGAUAAGGAGUGUUGAUAAUCGGGUCCUGUGCAACCGAUCGCCGUGAACCAUGUCAGGUCUUGACGGAAGCAGCAUUAAGCGGAAAGUUCGGUGUGCCGCAGGUUCGCCUGAUAGGAGCCACCUAUCGGAAUACCGCUUGGAGAUGUUCUUGUCGAAGGGUGGGUGCGCG
rnacentral:SRP_RNA from 1 species